UACGUAGGGUGCAAGCGUUGUCCGGAAUUAUUGGGCGUAAAGAGCUCGUAGGCGGUCUGUCGCGCCGAUCGUGAAAACUUGGGGCUUAACCCUGAGCUUGCGGUCGAUACGGGCAUGACUGGAGUUCGGCAGGGGAGACUGGAAUUCCUGGUGUAGCGGUGAAAUGCGCAGAUAUCAGGAGGAACACCGGUGGCGAAGGCGGGUCUCUGGGCCGAUACUGACGCUGAGGAGCGAAAGCGUGGGGAGCGAACAGG
rnacentral:rRNA from 1 species